GAUGAAGAACGUAGCGAAAUGCGAUAACUAAUGUGAAUUGCAGAAUUCAGUGAAUCAUCGAGUCUUUGAACGCACAUUGCGCCCCCUGGUAUUCCGGGGGGCAUGCCUGUCCGAGCGUCAUUGCUGCCCUCAAGCCCGGCUUGUGUGUUGGGUCGCCGCCCCCCUCUCCGGGGGGACGGGCCCGAAAGGCAGCGGCGGCACCGCGUCCGAUCCUCGAGCGUAUGGGGCUUUGUCACAUGCUCUGUAGGAUUGGCCGGCGCCUGCCGACGUUUUCCAACCAUUCUUUCCAGGUUGACCUCGGAUCAGGUAGGGAUACCCGCUGAACUUAAGCAUAUCAAUAAGCGGAGGA
rnacentral:misc_RNA from 1 species